CCCCGGUAAACGGCGGCCGUAACUAUAACGGUCCUAAGGUAGCGAAAUUCCUUGUCGGGUAAGUUCCGACCUGCACGAAUGGCGUAAUGAUGGCCAGGCUGUCUCCACCCGAGACUCAGUGAAAUUGAACUCGCUGUGAAGAUGCAGUGUACCCGCGGCAAGACGGAAAGACCCCGUGAACCUUUACUAUAGCUUGACACUGAACAUUGAGCCUUGAUGUGUAGGAUAGGUGGGAGGCUUUGAAGUGUGGACGCCAGUCUGCAUGGAGCCGACCUUGAAAUACCACCCUUUAAUGUUUGAUGUUCUAACGUGGACCCGUAAUCCGGGUUGCGGACAGUGUCUGGUGGGUAGUUUGACUGGGGCGGUCUCCUCCUAAAGAGUAACGGAGGAGCACGAAGGUUGGCUAAUCCUGGUCGGACAUCAGGAGGUUAGUGCAAUGGCAUAAGCCAGCUUGACUGCGAGCGUGACGGCGCGAGCAGGUGCGAAAGCAGGUCAUAGUGAUCCGGUGGUUCUGAAUGGAAGGGCCAUCGCUCAACGGAUAAAAGGUACUCCGGGGAUAACAGGCUGAUACCGCCCAAGAGUUCAUAUCGACGGCGGUGUUUGGCACCUCGAUGUCGGCUCAUCACAUCCUGGGGCUGAAGUAGGUCCCAAGGGUAUGGCUGUUCGCCAUUUAAAGUGGUACGCGAGCUGGGUUUAGAACGUCGUGAGACAGUUCGGUCCCUAUCUGCCGUGGGCGCUGGAGAACUGAGGGGGGCUGCUCCUAGUACGAGAGGACCGGAGUGGACGCAUCACUGGUGUUCGGGUUGUCAUGCCAAUGGCACUGCCCGGUAGCUAAAUGCGGAAGAGAUAAGUGCUGAAAGCAUCUAAGCACGAAACUUGCCCCGAGAUGAGUUCUCCCUGAGACUUAGAGUCUCCUGAAGGAACGUUGAAGACGACGACGUUGAUAGGCCGGGU
rnacentral:rRNA from 2 species